CUGGAAUAUUCCUAACGCAAGAAGUACCUCAAAGUGUGGGAGAUAGAAAGGUUUCAAAAAGAUGUGGCCCUACCCAAACAAAUGGAGUUACAGAACAGGGAAGGGGAUGCUGUACAAUGUGGGUCAGUGAGGGCUGACAAGAAGCAUCACUCACUGUCUACACUGAGAAUGGUUUUGGGCCAGGAAGUGGAGACGACCAAAGGAGGAGGACAGGUCUGGAAUAAAACCCGAGUGCCACUUUGGAAGACCUCACGCCUUCUCUGUCAUCAGCAGCUGAGGCAGCCUGAAUGUCAACAUUCCCUUAGUGCAGGGAAUGUGUCCUCAAAAACUCCUUCAGGAAGCAGAGCUGCUUCUGCUCCCUCAGCCAUGGCCCAUUGCAUCAGAGCUCCUGACAAGGGACAGCCUCAGACACUGCCCUCCCUACCUGUGCUGCAUUUCUGGGAGGGGAUGUUCCCGUUCCCUAGGAUGAUGGGGACCUAAAUCUGUGUUAGAUCCAACAGGUUCAUCUGCACUGCCAUCAAAGUGAGGCUAAAGAGUUGGUGGGAAAGUUUAUUUUUAGUUAGAGUCCACAGCAUUACAAGUGUUGGUUUUGGCAGGCUGAAAACACCAUCCUGCCUCUAGGAGGGAAAAUUGAAAACUCUCAUAAUAAGUAGCUUAUGAAAAUUAAUCAUUACUCAAACACAUUUUAGUAGUAUAAAUUCCAUUAAGUAUUUUAUAAUCUGGUUCUGUUUUAUUUCUUUGUCUAUAACAACCAUAAUCAAUAAAAUAUACAAUAGCCCUAUAUGUUCCCA
rnacentral:lncRNA from 1 species